GAUGAACGCUAGCGGCAGGCUUAAUACAUGCAAGUCGAGGGGCAGCACGGUUAGCAAUAACUGGUGGCGACCGGCGCACGGGUGCGUAACACGUAUACAAUCUGCCUUUAACAGGGGGAUAGCCCGGAGAAAUCCGGAUUAAUACCCCAUAACACUUUAGUUAGCAUUAACAGAAGUUGAAAGCUCCGGCGGUUAAAGAUGAGUAUGCGUCUGAUUAGCUAGUUGGUGAGGUAACGGCUCACCAAGGCGACGAUCAGUAGGGGAUCUGAGAGGAUUAA
rnacentral:rRNA from 1 species